GACGAACGCUGGCGGCGUGCUUAACACAUGCAAGUCGAACGGAAAGGCCCUGCUUUUGUGGGUUGCUCGAGUGGCGAACGGGUGAGUAACACGUGAGUAACCUGCCCUUGACUUUGGGAUAACUUCAGGGAACUGGGGCUAAUACCGGAUAUGAGCUCCUGCUGCAUGUUGUGGGUUGGAAAGUUUCGGCGGUUGGGGAUGGACUCGCGGCUUAUCAGCUUGUUGGUGGGGUAGUGGCUGACCAAGGCUUUGACGGGUAGCCGGCCUGAGAGGGGUACCGGCGACAUGAGGACUGAGAUACGGACCAGAAUGCAAAGGGAGGCAGCAGGGGGGAAUAUGACAGAAUGGGCGGAAGCCUGAUGCAACAACGCCGGGUGCGGGAUGACGGGCUUCGGGUUGUAAACCGAUUUCGAAGGUGACGAAGAGUGAGUGACGGUAAUGGGUAAAGAAGCAACGGCUAACUACGUG
rnacentral:rRNA from 1 species